rnacentral:rRNA from 1 species
CAUGAACAGUAAUUUAAUAAUCUUAGUAUUAAUAGUUAUGGUCUUUAAAUUAAAAGAAUUUGGCGGUAAUUUAGUCUGUUCAGAGGAAUCUGCCCUGUAAUCGAUGUUCCACGAUGAAUUUUACUUUAUCUACGCUUGUAUAUCUCUGUCAUUGAAUGUCUUAAUAGGGUAUUUUCUUGAAUCUUUAAUGAGUAAAAUGUCAGGUCAAGGUGCAGCAAUGAUAAAGAAGAGGUGGAUUACAUUGAAUGUAUUUAUGGAUAGUGAAUAUGUAAAUGUUCUGGAAAUUGGAUUUGAAGGUAAUUUCUAUUAGAAUGUAGAUUUGACUUUAGCUCUAAAUUAUGC